GGUUUGUGAGAUAUUCAACGCAAUCGCAACCCAUUCACGCCAAAAUAAUUGGGCCGGCCCAAUACUCAACAAUUCAGCCCCAUUACCUAGUCCGACUCCUUCACCGGGAGAGAGGGAAUGGACGGCGGUGUAGACCUACGCUGGAAUCCCAAUUCCGACUUCCGAUAUCAAUGUCGUUUGGUUUCGUCUCCUACGAUUCAACGAAGGUUGAAUUCUAGGGCUUUCUCUGGGUCAGCUCUGUCAUUCUCUGUAUCGUAUUUACCUGGAAAGGAGCGACGGGUAUACCAUGCAUUCAAAUAUGGCUUGCUUCUGGCUGCAUAGGACCAUGUUGAAUGAUUAUGGCUGUGAAAGAAGAAUUCACAGUUGAAAUUCCUGCACAUGAAGUUGAGAAAGCUGUAAUCACAUUUCAUCUCAUGACGACAACGUUGCGGCCCCCAUUCACAAGCCAAAUGAGAUUCUCAUUGUUGCCAGGUGGAAUCUUGUUAACAAACAUAAUUAUUUUCACUUUGCCUGUCAAUAUGCCACUGAUCAAUAGAUUGCAAUUAUAUUUCUAUGGCCAAUCAUUGAUAUCCUCCUUUCCACUUUUUUAUGCCUCCUAAAACAUAAGCAAUAUCCUAUUGGAUUCAUAAGGAUGUUUCUUUAGUAAACUGAUGUCAUUUUCUUGUUUUUGAAACUGUGGCUCUGAUGUUAACUACUCUCCUAUUAAAUUAUUUGAUUAAUUGUGGCCACCUUAUAACAUGAAUGUGAACAAAGAAUGGUGGCCCCUUAUUUGUACUGGAUAAAGAGAUCUAUUGGCCUUAUUAGUCACUGGAUAAAGUAAAUGUCUUUUGCUUUUGCCUAA